GGAUGUGUUCAAAACAAAAAACCCUUCAGUCGUGCUCGAUACAUGUUUGCAAUUCAUUAACUGAUAUAGAGAACUGAGGCUCGACUGAGUUGGAAAGUCGAUUGUGCGACUUGAAAGAUGGUCGCCGGAUGGAAGGCUAGAACGGCGUCUCCGGUUGCAGUUUAACAGACAAGUAAAUGUUGCAAAAACCAGAUUUGACGGCUAUCCUUGGGAAUAUUGCUACAAAUCCAGUUGGUCCAUACGCUGUCAUCCAGAAAGGAAGUGUCUUGGUGGAAGGGACAGGGGUACCAACACUGCAGAAGAACAAAGGCAAACCAAAUUCUAAAUCCAGCAAAUCUAAUAGGACUCAGGUAUGCCACGAUCCAAAAGGUUCAUGGAUAAUAGUCGGCCAAUAUCUCAACAACUAUCCUCUUCAUCAACACACGAGCAAUCGUUGAAUGAUGCAAAUCAAGAACAAAUUCAGCAUAAUGAAACACCAUUGAUUUCAUUUAACUAUUUAGAGUCGAGCCUUGAAAUUUAUACUAUGAAAUGUAGGUACCCGAUGAAGGAAGCAAGCAACAAUCUUCACAAGGGAGUGGAAAAGCAAAAUUCAUCCGCUAGUCAUCAUGUUAAUGGACAAUCUUCUACAUGAUAUGCAACUGUUCUGCAGUUUCUGGGCAAUGUAGGACUGCAGAUUGGUCAUUGGUUGUUGUUAAGGCAACUCUCUUCAUUGUGACUUACCUUGUCUGCAACUGCUUAUACACUCCCUAUAGUCAUCACUUACAAAAAUGGCAAAAGACAGAGAUGUCCAGUUGACUGUGAAGGUUGCAGAGGGACUCACAGUUGAUAAGAUACUUGAAAACUGGAUGAAGAUAAAACCUGUAAUAGUGGAAGAAUGGAAUGAAAACAGAGAUGCUUUAAUUGAUCUUUUUGGUAAAGUCAGGAAUGAGUGGAUGGACAAUGAUUUGUCUACUUGGAUUGGUGCAAACAUGCAAGUCUUCUUUGCAGUGCCUAAGUAGAUGACAUCGAACUGCAUAGCUCAAAUUGCAUCAAGAAAUGCCAGAACACAUCAAGAAAUGCCAGAACACUAGGGAAGGUGAUAGGGACAAAUUUAGCUCCCAAGUGAUCUUAUGUUAUUUUGACUAUUUGUACAAAUUUAAUGUUGUUGCUCUUUUUUUCUCAGAACUAUUGGCUUCUUUUUAUUUUUUUGAGAACACUAGUUAUUUGUUACAAUUAUUUGACAAAGAUUAGUUAUAA